rnacentral:tRNA from 1 species
GCCUCGGUGGCGUAGUGGUCAAGACGCUCGCCUGGUAAACAGGAGGGCGUGGGUUCGAUCCCAGCCGGGGCA